AACACAUGCAAGUCGAGCGCGCCUUCGGGUGAGCGGCGGACGGGUUAGUAACGCUGAACGUGCCCUUUUCUACGGAAUAGCCUCUGGAAACGGAGAGUAAUACCGUAUACGCCCUUUGGGGGAAAGAUUUAUCGGAGAAGGAUCGGCCCGCGUUAGAUUAGUAGUUGUGGGGUAAUGGCCUACCAAGCCUACGAUCUAUAGCUGGUUUUAGAGGAUGAUCAGCACAACACUGGGACUGAGACACGGGCCAGACUCCUACCGGAGUGCAGCAAGUGGGGAAUCUUAGACAAUGGGGGCAACCCUGAUCUAGCCAUGCCGCAGUGAGUGAUGAAAGCCUUAAGGUCGUAAAGCUCUUUCGACUGUGAUGAUUACGACAGUAGCAGGUAAAAGAAACACCGGUCUAAAUCCGAUGCCAACAACCCGCGAGUAACACACGAAGGGGU
rnacentral:rRNA from 1 species